AGAGUUUGAUUAUGGCUCAGGAUGAACGCUGGCGGCGUGCUUAACACAUGCAAGUCGAACGAAGCCAAAAGGAAGCUUGCUUCUUGAAGCUUAGUGGCGGACGGGUGAGUAACGCGUGAGUAACCUGCCCUUCAGUGGGGAAUAACACAGAGAAAUCUGUGCUAAUACCGCAUAACGUCUUCUUGCCGCAUGACAGGAAGACCAAAGGAUUUAUUCGCUGAAGGAUGGACUCGCGUCCGAUUAGCUAGUUGGUGAGGUAACGGCCCACCAAGGCGACGAUCGGUAGCCGAACUGAGAGGUUGAUCGGCCACAUUGGGACUGAGACACGGCCCAGACUCCUACGGGAGGCAGCAGUGGGGAAUAUUGGGCAAUGGGCGAAAAAGCCUGACCCAGCAACGCCGCGUGAAGGAAGACGGUCUUCGGAUUGUAAACUUCUUUGAUUGGGGAAGAAACAAAUGACCUACCCAAAGAACAAGUCACGGCUAACUACGUGCCAGCCGCAGC
rnacentral:rRNA from 1 species